rnacentral:lncRNA from 1 species
GGGUCGGAGUUAGCUCAAGCGGUUACCUCCUCAUGCCGGACUUUCUAUCUGUCCAUCUCUGUGCUGGGGUUCGAGACCCGCGGGUGCUUACUGACCCUUUUAUGCAAUAAAUUCGGUAUAAUCUGUCA